AUGAUCACCCCUCCGUCUUCUUUCGACACCCCUCCGUCUUCGAAGCUCCUUCCAGUCUCCCUCCUUCUGCCCACGAAUCACCUUUCCGCGUUGCUACUGUCUGCACCACCAUCUUCCAUUUCUCAUCAUUUUUUUUCUUCCGCAAGGAUUCUCGGGUUUUUGUGCGCGUUGAAAAGGUGGUUGAUGAUUAUUUAUUUGUUGACCUAA